GAAUGAACAGAACAUGAAUGAAUAAGGUGGCAGCAGUCACUUCUCAGAGACCUUAUUAAAGUCUGCUUGUCUUAAAACGUUGGUCUGAAGUCAGCAUUGAGCUGUCAGCCAGGCAACUUCCUCAGAAUCAAUUUAAGUUUGUUGCUUUUGGAUAAUGAAUAUUGAUCAACUGCUGUUAGAGCUGGUGCACAAAUCUGUUACUUCUGUGCUUUCCUGUGGAACACCUUGGUUAAGGAGCAAGCCCACCUGACAGUGCAGACAAGAGGAAUACCUUGGUGGCAGGUGACAGGAGGAAAUGGGAGAAGAAAUGCAGAAAGCCACCUGACAGAGACAGGAGCUUCCUUAUAG
rnacentral:lncRNA from 1 species